AUCGCCUUACUAUCGCAUGAAAGAGUCCGUAAAAUUUGGAUGAGGAACUAACUGGGAAAGUUUCGGAACGGCAAAACCUUAUGGUGGAUGAAUCUCUAUUUUCCAUUGAAGCCAGGAUGAAAAAACGAUUCGGACAUUUUAAAACGAGCACGGUGCCCCGCAUCGCAACCAUUAUUGAUGCCCGCUUCAAAAAAAUACGGGAUUGAAUCACCCAAUAAAGCUGAGCAGUAACUCAUGUUAAUGUUCAUUAACAAAAAUUAAAA